rnacentral:lncRNA from 1 species
UGUUUCCGUGUGAGUUCCGGUUGUUUCCGUGUGAAUUCCGGGUGUUUUUGUGUGAAUUCCGUGUGUUUCCGUGAGUUCCGGCUGUUCCUGGGGUGGUUUCCGGUUGUUUCCGUGAGUUCCGGGUGUUCCUGUGUUGGUUUCUGUGUGAAUUCCGGCUGUUUCCGUGCGAGUUCCGUGUGUUUCUGUGAGUUCCGGCUGUUCCUGGGGUGGUUUCCGUGCGAGUUCCGGUUGUUUCCGUGUGAAUUCCGGUUGUUUCCAUGAGUUCCAGGUGUUUCUGUGGUGGUUUUUGGGUGAAUUCCGGGUGUUUCUGUGUGAAUUCCGGUUGUUUCCGUGUGAGUUUCGGGUGUUCCUGUGGUGGUUUCUGUGUGAAUUCCGGGUAUUUCCGUGUGAGUUCCGGUUGUUUCCGUGUGAGUUCCGGGUGUUUCCGUGUGAGUUCCGGUUGUUUCCGUGUGAGUUCCGGUGGUUUCCGUGUGAGUUCCGGUUGUUUCUGUGUGAGUUCCGGGUGUUUCCGUGAGUUCCUGUGGUGGUUUCCGUGUGAAUUCCGGUUGUUUCCGUGUGAGUUCCGGUUGUUUUUGGGUGAAUUCCGGUUGUUUCCGUGUGAGUUCCUGUGGUGGUUUUUGGGUGAAUUCCGGCUGUUUCCGUGCGAGUUCCGGGUGUUUCCGCGAGCUCCGGCUGUUCCUGGGCUGCCCCCGCAGCCGGGGGGCUCGCGGGGUCCCUCUGAGCGCGCCGUUGCCGGGCAGGUGGCGCGGGCCGGGCGUUUCGGCACCAAGGGCUUGGCCAUCACCUUCGUGUCGGACGAGAACGACGCCAAAAUCCUCAACG